AGAGUCAAAUAAUCAAAUAAUGAUUCGUUCACGUAUCGUGUUCGUGUAAUGGAGGUCUCUCGAUUCAGUUCUAAAUGAUGAAGAACUGCAUGUUUUUCUGGCCCAAUGCAGUACAAAAGAUAUGUUUGUGUGUUGGUUGACCCCAGAGGCCUGAGUGUGACUGCGAGACCACUUGACUGUGAACUUUGACGUGGUGGUCAUCUUCUUGUGGCCUUUUAAAGAGGAGUCAUAAAAGUGUUCAUUCCUUGACUGACUUGUGUCAUAGGGCCUGGAAACUUCUUACACAGCUAAAAGACCUGUGGUACCUUUGAUUGAUCAGAGAGCGUAUUUUGGAUAGACAGUAUGGCGCCCAGUUGCUUCUGUGUACAUUACGGACAGACGUGAAGCUCUCAGCUGAGAGGGGAGACCUAUGCUGGAUCUGAAUUCUCAGAGCUGCUCUGCUGAAGAAUCCCAUUGUCUGGCUUCCCGUGAGUAGAGAGUGGUUCCCAGGACUUGGCUUGUCUAAAUAAGUCAUGACAGAGUGGACUCCCUCCCGCAAUAGCCUCUCUGACUCACUUAUCUCUGGCAGACGCACUCUCAACACAAACCAGUGCCGUCUCUCUGUCACACAGUCUAAUCUGUAAUGUCAUGGUUCACUGAAACACUCCCACUCUCUCCAAAAACUGGCACGACCUCCUUCAGCACUUUGAUAAUCCAGUAUGAUUUAUACACUACCGUUCAAAAGUUUGAGGUCAAUAAGAUUUUUUUUAAAAUAAGCUGCAUUUAUUUGAUCAAAA
ensembl:lncRNA